rnacentral:rRNA from 1 species
CAGGGAUUGCCUCAGUAACGGCGAGUGAAGCGGCAAAAGCUCAAAUUUGAAAUCUAGCACUUUCAGUGUUCGAGUUGUAAUUUGAAGAAGGUAACUUUGGUUUUGGCUCUUGUCUAUGUUCCUUGGAACAGGACGUCACAGAGGGUGAGAAUCCCGUGCGAUGAGAUGCCCAAUUCCAUGUAAAGUGCUUUCGAAGAGUCGAGUUGUUUGGGAAUGCAGCUCUAAGUGGGUGGUAAAUUCCAUCUAAAGCUAAAUAUUGGCGAGAGACCGAUAGCGAACAAGUACAGUGAUGGAAAGAUGAAAAGAACUUUGAAAAGAGAGUGAAAAAGUACGUGAAAUUGUUGAAAGGGAAGGGCUUGAGAUCAGACUUGGUAUUUUGCGUUCCCUUCCUUUUUGGUUGGGUUCCUCGCAGUUUACUGGGCCAGCAUCGGUUUGGAUGGUAGGAUAAUGACAUUGGAAUGUAGCUUUACUUCGGUGAAGUGUUAUAGACUUUGUUGAUACUGCCUAUCUAGACCGAGG